AUGUAUGAGGGUAAUCUGACAUGAGGGUUGUCAGUUAACUAAUUGCAAGGUUGAUUUAGCUGAUUUGGUUGUGAUUUAUCCCUUCUUCCCUCACCACUCCAUGAGCAUCUCACCUGAAACUGCAGUCAGUUGAGCAUGACCUACUCCUUAGAUAAGUUGUAGGUAUGUGAGUAGCUUCCAUCACCUGCUAAAACCUCAAAGCAAGGUCAUAAGAAAAUAUGAAAAAUCUUCCUGCCUCCUCUUCCACAUUGAGCACUGAAACCUCAGGGGAGGUGU
rnacentral:snRNA from 1 species